GACCGUUAAUAGUCCCCGCCGCCUGGAAGUUCUGACAGCGCCCUGAAGCCCAUUUGUCAUCUAAAUGGUCCGUCCCCUUCUUAAACAUCAUUUUGGCCCAAGGUCCAUUCAUGGGGCCUGCCGGGUGUUCCUGGGAAGAUGGGCAGAAAAUCCCAAGGCCACCAUUUAGUGCCAAUAAACAGAAGGCCUGGUUUCUUCAAAAGAAACACAAGAAAUUGUUUCCUGGUUUUGCCACAGAGAUUGGGUCACAGAGUGCCACCUAAAUGGUAUUACCAUAUUUGUGUUGUCGCCUCUUGGUUUGAAAUUUAUUCCUGGUAUGACUUGUGUCUCCCCUUGUUCCAUCUCUGACACCCAAGCCCAUGGGAUGACAACCCAGGCUGAGAUGUCCCAUGUGUCACAAAGGAGUCCUUCAGUAUUUCCAGGAAUAGUUGGAACCAGCACUCCAUCCCCUACCUGGACCUGGCACCCUCUCUACUCUUGUCAAUUCUACACUAAUCACAGGAAGAAGGUGGAAUUAGUCCAAGCUGGGUUUUCAGAAAUAACUUGUAGACAUGCAACAGAUGUUUAUAACCCUCAGAAGCGGAAGGAAACUUGGAAACCCUCUCUUUCGGUGACUUUUUUUCUAAUGAUUGUCUCUGCCAUGAAAUUCUAACUUCAAAUGAAAUCUUUGGCAGGAACCCAGGGCUGUUCUGUCAAGGUUCAGCUGCAGGACCAGAGCCCCUUCCACCUAACCCCCACUCCUAUCCUGAUGCUUCCUGAGGCACAUCUGCUGUGGUUUCUCACCAGAGAACAGUCUGCAAAAUCACUGCACCUUGUCCAACUCCAUUUUCCAACUGAGAAGACUUGGCCCAGAGAAGUGCACAGACUUGAGGGAAGUAACACAGCAAUCGGACAGACAGACAUCCCCAGAUAUACCUGCUACGGUCCUGGGAGAAAAUAGAGACCCAUCCCCAAAUACCAUCAUCCUCAUCAUUCUCUGUAGCCCAAUCAAAUGAUGCUCCAGGCCUGAGAUUUUAUCCAAUGAACACUCUGUACAUCUUUAAAAGAGAUAUGUACUUGUCUUAUUCCUCCUUUCCUUUCUUUAAAAAAAAACACAGGCCCCAGAUCCAGUCAUUCUAAAUAGGAAGGAAAAACAUAACCCACUGAGGCAAUGGAUGCUGUUUCUCUCCCUGCUCUGUGACUUUAGUUUGCCUUUAAAGCCCAUUUUCACCAUUUAUUGAUUUUAGUUUUCUACUUGUCUAUGAAUGACAACUUGAAUUAAGACAACGCAGGCUGAAAAGCCGCUAGGCAGUGCUAAAUGGACAAGCUACACUUCGUGGCAGGAUGUCUCAUGACCGUGCCACCUUCUGCCUAGCCCCAUUCUCUGGAGGAGCUGUGGGCAGACCGACCCCAGCCUGGCCGCCUGGCAUGGGGACUGGUUGCGUCAGAUCGGAGCUCUGAGAUAAGGGUGGGCCAGGGCAUGAUCAUCACCACUGCCAGCCUCGAAGCCUCUUUGCUGACCUGGAGGUGAUCUGUGUAUCAAAGGGGGCUGUGUAUUCAACAGCACUUCCAGAAGAGGCCAAAGAUCUGUCUCUACUUCAGCCUCCACUGGGCAGAAAACUAAGCCUAUUUGCUCUAGGCCCUUCAGACUUGCACUUGGAGAAAGAAAACUCACUAAGUCAGCCCUUAUGUAACUCCACUCUCCUCUCUUCCAAACCUCCUUGCUUUGGACAAAUAUUUGACAGAAAAUGCCCUUUUGCAACGCCUUAAAAGUUACAAAAAUGGUGCACCCUAUCCUUUAAUCUGUACUGUAAAUAAAAAAUAUUAACAC